CACUGGUGCAAGUCCCAGAGUACAAAGGCUAAAGAACCUGGAAUUUGAUGUCCUAGGGCAGGAGAAGAAAAGGGGUACUGCUCUGGAAAAGAGAGAGAAAGAGAGAAAAAAAAGGAAGCAAGAAAAAGAAAAAAAGAAAAGCAAGCAAGCUGAAUGUCUUCCUUCUUCCACCUCCUUUGUUCCUGCUGUACUGCCACUGCCCAAUAUAUAAUAUUUCAGGAAACAUUGCUUUAUGAAGGGCUCCAUAACAGUUAAUGAAGGAGAGCCAAGAUACCCACCUUGGAGCCCAAGCUGAGGGGUAUUUUCGAUGUGUAUCUUGUGGAACCAGUCCUGCCAAUCUCAUCCAGUGACUAAAAAUGCCUAACCUCCUGGGAAUGGAGGUCAAGCAAGUUUCAGCCUCAUUUUACACAACACCUAUUCAAGAUGGAGGUGCUCUGGUUCAAAUCACUCUGACAAGCAGUCACUACCCCUGCCCCAAAGCCAAGCAUUGUAGGGAAUCUUAUCUGGUAACAAAGAGUUGAUCUGAAGUGAUGUUUGAAAAUGAGUGGGGUGGUUGUUUGUUGAAUCAGUGAGACAAUGAGUAGGGAAUGAGGGAGACUGUCAUUUAAUUGGUAAAGACCAGAGGUGCUAAUUGUUCUGCAAUUCCAUAGCAUUUCACUCAGCAUUCCACAAAAUCAAGCAUGCUCCCUCCCGAAAUAUUCACAUCGCCCCACUGAGAAACUGCCCCAGAGCACCCUGGGGAAGCUCAGCUUUGCAUUCCCACUUCUAUUAGACAGCCUUUGUGACACACACACCUUGUCCCUGUGAACAUGGUGAAUGGAAAUUAUCUUCUCCACAUUAACUUUGAAUACAUGGGCCAAGGAAAUGGCCCUAGGUGUAUACCAGUCCUGCUUCUUUCUCACUCCUUGGCUAGAGAAAGAAAGAAUUUAGCAAAUUCAUCAUUAGUCAAGAAUAAGGGGCUGCAUUUUGUUUUAAAAAUCCUCUCCUUCCAUUUUCAAUUCUAGUACAGGCCAUAUCAGAAUUAUAAUUAAUGAAAUAAAUGUUAAUUCAAAUUAUCUAUAUUUAAUGAGUUCAUGAUUCAUUAACUUGAAAAGAAUCCAUUUGUUUGCAUAAAAUGAAUCUCAAUGAUGGAACUAUAUAAUUAUUUAGUAUGAAUGAUGAUAGUGCACUUAAUAAAAUUAGAACAAUUUUUUGGUUAAUGUUACAGAUUAGG
rnacentral:lncRNA from 10 species